GAUGAAGAACGUAGUGAAAUGCGAUAAUUAAUGUGAAUUGCAGAAUUUAGUGAAUCAUCGAAUCUUUGAACGCACAUUGCGCCCCUUGGUAUUCCGGGGGGCAUGCCUGUUCGAGCGUCAUUUCAACCCUCAAGCUCUGCUUGGUCUUGGGCCGCGCCGGCGACGGCGGGCCUCAAAAACAGUGGCGGCGCCAUCUGGUUCCUCAGCGUAGUAAUUCUUCUCGCUGUUGGGCCCGGGUGGCCGCUGGCCAGCAACCCCAAAUUUUCUAUGGUUGACCUCGGAUCAGGUAGGGAUACCCGCUGAACUUAAGCAUAUCAAUAAGCGGAGGA
rnacentral:misc_RNA from 1 species